CAGACUUUUUUAAAGACAUCUUCUCAAUGAAGGUUCCCUCCUUGCAGAUAACUCCAGCUUGUGUCAAGUUGACAUAAAACUAGCCAGCACAG